rnacentral:rRNA from 1 species
AUUGAACGCUGGCGGCAGGCCUAACACAUGCAAGUCGAACGGUAACAGGAAGAAGCUUGCUUCUUUGCUGACGAGUGGCGGACGGGUGAGUAAUGUCUGGGAAACUGCCUGAUGGAGGGGGAUAACUACUGGAAACGGUAGCUAAUACCGCAUAACGUCGCAAGACCAAAAAGGGGGACCUUCGGGCCUCUUGCCAUCGGAUGUGCCCAGAUGGGAUUAGCUAGUAGGUGGGGUAACGGCUCACCUAGGCGACGAUCCCUAGCUGGUCUGAGAGGAUGACCAGCCACACUGGAACUGAGACACGGUCCAGACUCCUACGGGAGGCAGCAGUGGGGAAUAUUGCACAAUGGGCGCAAGCCUGAUGCAGCCAUGCCGCGUGUAUGAAGAAGGCCUUCGGGUUGUAAAGUACUUUCAGCGGGGAGGAAGGGAGUAAAGUUAAUACCUUUGCUCAUUGACGUUACUCGCAGAAGAAGCACCGGCUAACUCCGUG